rnacentral:rRNA from 1 species
GUCUGGUGCCAGCAGCCGCGGUAAUUCCAGCUCCAAUAGCGUAUAUUAAAGUUGUUGCAGUUAAAAAGCUCGUAGUUGAAUUUCGGGGUUCUUCCGUUGGUCAGGCUAACAAGUCUGUACUAACGUGUAGAAUUCCUACCUUCUGGGGAACCAUCAUGUUAUUAAUUUAGCGUGGUGGGAAACCAGGACCUUUACCUUGAAAAAAUUAGAGUGUUCAAAGCAGGCUUACGUCUGAAUACAUUAGCAUGGAAUAAUAAAAUAGGACGGUGGUCCUGUUUUGUUGGUUUCUGAAUCACCGUAAUGAUUAAUAGGGAUAGUUGGGGGCAUUAGUAUUCAAUUGUCAGAGGUGAAAUUCUUGGAUUUAUUGAAGACUAACUUCUGCGAAAGCAUUUGCCAAGGAUGUUUUCAUUAAUCAAGAACGAAAGUUAGGGGAUCGAAGACGAUCAGAUACCGUCGUAGUCUUAACCAUAAACUAUGCCGACUAGGGAUCGGACGAUGUUAAAUUUUAUUGACUCGUUCGGCGCCUU